rnacentral:rRNA from 1 species
UACAGAGGGGGCAAGCGUUAUUCGGAAUUAUUGGGCGUAAAGGGCGCGUAGGCGGCUUGGCAAGUGGAUGGUGAAAUCCCUCGGCUUAACCGAGGAACUGCCGUCCAAACUGCUUCGCUUGAGACCGGGAGAGGUGAGUGGAAUUCCCAGUGUAGCGGUGAAAUGCGUAGAUAUUGGGAGGAACACCAGUGGCGAAGGCGGCUCACUGGACCGGUACUGACGCUGAUGCGCGAAAGCGUGGGGAGCCAAUGGG